ACGGAGGGGGCUAGCGUUGUUCGGAAUUACUGGGCGUAAAGCGCGCGUAGGCGGACUUUCAAGUCAGGGGUGAAAUCCCGAGGCUCAACCUCGGAACUGCCUUUGAUACUGUAAGUCUUGAGUCCGAGAGAGGUGAGUGGAAUUCCUAGUGUAGAGGUGAAAUUCGUAGAUAUUAGGAAGAACACCAGUGGCGAAGGCGGCUCACUGGCUCGGUACUGACGCUGAGGCGCGAAAGCGUGGGGAGCAAACAGG
rnacentral:rRNA from 1 species